GAAUACAUGGUCUGCUUCAUUAAAUUAAUAUGUAAUUCUUAGAUAAUAAUUAAACUGCUUUAUAUUUUUUUAGACCAAGAAGUGUUCUCUUAAAUUAAGGGAGAGGUAUUGUCAGUGGCAAAUUUGAGGAAUCUGAUACAUUGGUGGAAUACGGCAUGUGGUCAUGAAAUUAUACUUCAAUGCUGCAAUCCUCAAGGUCUGAAAAUUGGAAGUUUUGUACCAAUCUCUGCUAAUCAGCAGGGAAUCCAAGGGACAUGUUUAAGUAACACUACUAGUUUUGUAAAGAAAAUGAAACACUCCUGAUGACAUAUACUAGAUUUGUUGAAAUAGUUGAACUGAGGCAAUAUGAUUGUAAUUCAAGCAUUUUGGGGGAAAAUUUUUAAAAAUGUACUUGUUUUUAAAAUGUAAAUUUAUAUUUGACUCAUAAUUUUCUCAGAACCAAUCCAAUAUCCACUACAUUAAUUUAAACAUAUUUUCAGAGGUCAAGUAACUACCAAUGAUUUGAGCUCUAGGUUUGGAAAUAGAAAUCACAAAAUGUUAACGAAAAUUUUAAUAAAUUUUAUAUAUUUGCAUAAAACGACAGAAACGUACUGUAAUUUAGUAUUUAUGAAAAAAAGUAUUUAAUAUAAUCAUUGAAAAUUGUAUUGAAUUAAAUUACAUUAAUAAGGAG